CUCGUGGUUUAGUCCAGGUCUCGUGGUUUAGUCCAGGUCUCGUGGUUUAGUCCAGGUCUCAUGGUUUAGUCCAGGUCUCAUGGUUUAGUCCAGGUCUCAUGGUUUAGUCCAGGUCUCGUGGUUUAGUCCAGGUCUCGUGGUUUAGUCCAGGUCUCGUGGUUUAGUCCAGGUCUCGUGGUUUAGUCCAGGUCUCGUGGUUUAGUCCAGGUCUCAUGGUUUAGUUCAGGUCUCAUGGUUUAGUCCAGGUCUCAUGGUUUAGUCCAGGUCUCAUGGUUUAGUCCAGGUCUCAUGGUUAAUCCAGGUCUCAUGGUUUAGUCCAGGUCUCAUGGUUUAGUCCAGGUCUCAUGGUUUAGUCCAGGUCUCAUGGUUUAGUCCAGGUCUCGUGGUUUAGUCCAGGUCUCGUGGUUUAGUCCAGGUCUCGUGGUUUAGUCCAGGUCUCGUGGUUUAGUCCAGGUCUCAUGGUUUAGUCCAGGUCUCAUGGUUUAGUCCAGGUCUCAUGGUUUAGUCCAGGUCUCAUGGUUUAGUCCAGGUCUCAUGGUUAAUACAGGUCUCAUGGUUUAGUUCAGGUCUCAUGGUUUAGUCCAGGUCUCAUGGUUUAGUCCAGGUCUCAUGGUUUAGUCCAGGUCUCAUGGUUAAUCCAGGUCUCAUGGUUUAGUCCAGGUCUCAUGGUUUAGUCCAGGUCUCAUGGUUUAGUCCAGGUCUCAUGGUUUAGUCCAGGUCUCAUGGUUUAGUCCAGGUCUAAUUUUACAUGCAGUGUUUUGACCUUUUUAAUUGUGCAUAAAAGCUUAUUUAGAGAAUUGUAUUUAUUUAUUUUCUUAUCGAGAAGUUUUGGGGGAGGGGUUGUGAGGAAUAGUGAGGGGUAGUGUGGAAUAGUGAGGGAUAGUGUGGAAUAGUGAGGGGUAGUGAGGGGUAGUGAGGGGUAGUGAGGAAUAGUGAGGGGUAGUGAGGAAUAGUGAGGGGUAGUGAGGAAUAGUGAGGGGUAGUGAGGGGUAGUGUGGGGUAGUGAGGGGUAGUGAGGAAUAGUGAGGAAUAGUGAGGGGUAGUGAGG